rnacentral:rRNA from 1 species
GACGAACGCUGGCGGCGUGCUUAACACAUGCAAGUCGAACGCAGAGGGUCGGUACUUGUACUAUCUGGAUGUGCAGCGCGCGGGUGUGUAACGCGAGUAAACUACCCGUUUUUGCGGGGGACAACACUGGGAAACGGGUGCGAACACAGCAUAAAAACUUUAAACACGGGAUUGAGGUUAGAAAGAUGGAGGUGCAUCACUGAAAGCUGACCCCGCGUCGUAUUAGCUAGUUGGUGAGGUAAAGGGUCACUAAGGCGAUGCUACAUAGCCGACCUGAGAGGAUGAUCGGCCACAGUGGGACUGAGACACGGCCCAGACUCCUACGGGAGGCAGCAGUAGGGAAUCUUCGGCAAUGGACGAAAGUCUGACCGAGCAACGCCGCGUGAGUGAAGACGGUCGUCGGGUCGUAAAGCUCUGUUGUUAGGGAAGAAAGUUCUUGAGACUGGGAAGCAGAUUGAGUGACGGUAACGGCCCAGAAAGCGACGGCUAACUACGUG